CGCGCGUUGUUGCGGAAUUUUGUAAAUAGAUUCUGAGAGAUACAUGAGGGGAUAUAAGAUAAAUAUAAUAGACAGCACAUAGGAAAUGUCUGUUUUAUUAUAUUCAGCAAACAAUGACAUUUUUCAUACGAUGAAAUUUAUUAACCGAAGCAACAAAAGUGAUGUUUGAUCACAAAUUUGUUUUUUUACCUCCUCUUCAAUUGUACUUAGCUGCAUGUGAGGUAAUCCAUUUUUCAUGUAUGAGUAGGAACAUGAGUGUCUUGAAGCUUCGGUUUGCUGUGGUCUCUGCCUGUGGAUUUGCCCGUGACAGACUGACAGCUAUAGAAACUGUUGGCAUCGUAGAAGAAUUCAUUUGAACAAUUGCAUGCCUUCACUUGUGGAAUAUGGACAAAACAGAAAUGAACAUCACCAUACAAAGGUUUGGGUAGAUUCAUGACAGGAAAUAAUAGUAGUUUAUGCUAUGAAGUAUAAAAAUGUGAAAAUAAUGCAAAGGUCAUAAAAGAUAAUUUGAGGCCCCUAAACACAGAAUUGAAGGUAAUAACAUUACUAAUUGAGGAUUAGAGAAAACCUGUUGGCUGGUUGUUCAUGGUCCAUGUGUGGGGAUGAGUAUAGUGCUGUUGAGUAUAGGAGGAAUGGGAAAGAUAAGCUAUUGUUGGGAGAAACCAAGUGAGGUGUCCCUGAUAGUUAUAUAAGUUGAGUGGUAAUGGUGGAUUGAGUUAAUUGUGGAGAUUAUAGGUAUAAUAAUGUUUGCCAUGUGGAGAUUAUAAGUAUUAUAUUACAAUUAAACACUACUUUUGGAGGAGUUAUUUGGUAGUAAAACACAUGCAUGAAACAUCAAUGAAAAUUUGUAAACUUUGAAAGAAUAAAUGUGAACAAAUCUGAAUGAAGAAAAAAUGAAGCCGAGAAGAUGGCAUAGUUGUUUUGAGGAAAUUUGUUGCGUGCACCAUAGCCUAGUGUGUAGUGAUUUUAAAACUAAAUAACUAUGUCUUGUCAUCUGGAAAGUAAAAAAUCAUCUAUUUUAUUUAAAUUCUUAUCUGUUGGUAUAAAUAUGUGAAGAGAGCACCAGAAACUCCCCAUCUUUAGUUUCUUUGUCAUGAGAAUAUUAAUGGACAGUUGUUUGUUUGGUGAUAAGCGUGCGCCAAUAGAAACAAAAUCACUUGUAGCAUUUUUGGACUGAAAGAUCUAUACAACUCAAGAUAAAUAGUUGCACUAACCUGAUGAAUCUCCCUUUUGUCAAUUGAUUUAUUUUAUUCUACCAUUAUGAAGAACAUCCUCUGUAGUCCAAUCAGAAAGAACAGAAACCUGGAAAGCAUCAAUCACAAAACCAUAGCUUAUAGACCUGAAUACAAAUUAGGGGGAAAAGGAUCCUCUAACUUUGGCUGGAAAGCCACGGUGUUGCAGUUCGCUUCAUCCCUGCCGACCACUGCAUCCAAUGGCACACAUCCAUCUUUCCUCCUUUGCUUGCAUGCUGUGCGGCCCAGUUCAGCAUGCAGCGGCCAUCGGCGCCCAUCUGGCCACAAUAACUUUGUUGUAUGCUGUCGCCUGCUACUACAUGCAUGAAUGCAAAGUUUCAACUUUCAACAGAACCUGAACUGCUGAAGCAUAAAACAGAUAUAAACCAUUUAGAAUAAUUCAAAAUAAGACCUAAGUUUCAACUUUCAAGUAGCAUCAUUCAUGCACUGCAAACCAACAAAUGAGUUUUGGACAGCACUAUAAGGCCAUGGAUAUUGUGACUAAAACAGUAGGAUUAUAAGCAAGAUCUCCGUUAAUAGUUGAGUGUAACUAUUAAUGACCCUAUAUUCCUCAGAAUCUUUUGUGUUGCCCAUCAAAGCAAUAUCUGUUUGCUCUGCUUCCUAACCAUCAUUCUUAGCCUUGAAAGAUUCAGAGUAAAAAUUAGUCCAGUUAGAUUACAUUGAUUUCUAAAUGAUAUUUAGACGUCCAUAGCAACACUCAAAAUCCAUGACCUCAUAUCACCAAUGACAACUUAGAUUAGUACUAUUCACCUGUUGGAUUCGUGGUGCUCUCUUUGAGCCUCUUCUUCCAUUUCUUCACCAAAGCAGAAAUUGACCGAUGGUGGAAGAUGGAUAUUCAAUUGAUUGCUUCUUGCUUUCCCUGUACUUCAUUACUUCGUUUUCUUUUAGAACCCAGAAAGAAAGGAUCAAAACCCAGAGUGUUCUAUACUUUGGCACUAAAACUGAGCGAGGGCUGCCUUUUUCCCUCCACUACCUACCGCUGCACCCCUGUUUUUUCCACGCCGGCCGUGCUGUGAUUUUGGGCCGAACUGGAUCGCACAGUAUGCAAGCAAACGAGGGAAGAUGGAUGUGUGCCGUUAGAUGUAGUGGUCGGCAGGGAUGAAGCGAACUGCAACACCGUGACUUUCCAAGCCAAAGUCAGAGGAUCCGUUUCCAAAUUAGGGAUAUCUUAUAGCAAAGGAGGAUUAAUAUGGCGCAAUAUGUGCCUCAAUUUUAAUGUCAACACUGAACUAAUGACAGUUUAAAUUUUAGCCAAAGAUAGUUUACACUGGAAAUAUCUGGAAGUGCUGUUGUGGAAGAAAUUUCUUGUAUUUCUUGCGAAGCUAGUACCCUGGGAUGAACAUAUAUAUUAUUUUCUGGAAAUCAGGUGAACAUAGAUGAAUAUGAAGCGAAUUGAAUCAUAUGUAUUUCAGAUAGAAAAGGUUUUUACAUUUUCUUUUUUUGACCAGGAAGGUUUUUACAUUUUCUUGAAGGACAAAGUACCUUAUGUAGCAACUAUUUUAGACAGGAAUGUGAAGGGAAGCUGGGAACCAGGCAUAACCUCUGCUGCAGCCUGUAGGUGGUAGCAGUACGACCCAGUAGAAGGCUAUCUAUCUGUUGAUAAGAAGUAAAACUCAAAGCAAGAAGUAAAACCAAUAGAUGCUGCAAUAGUGUAAAAUUAGGAAUAGGUACCUCUGAUCUUAUAGUUCUAUCAUAAUUGGAGGCUCCUAGUAUACAAAAUAUUGAUGAAUAGAAAGAAAGCAACAACCUGAAGAACAACAGAAACCAAAUCUUUUUUUUAUUAUUUUUAUAAACGGAGGGUGUGUAGGAACAAAUCAACAACUUGAAUGAAAGCUUGAAAUGGCUAUAAGAAGAGAGGGCCGACAUAUCACCAAUUAGAUGAGCAUACUUACAGAGGGAAACAGGUCGUUUUUUGGCGUGCUUAGGGUCUAGGCAGUAGUAUGCGCGUGCCAACCGAUGAGGUCCUCUAAUGGUGCCCAUUCCAUUUUAAUGGAGUCGAGGGGGAGGCCGACGGCACUGGAGACGAAUGAAGCGGAUGUUUUCCCACAAGCAGGUUUAUGGAGCGAUGGGAGAGGAAGGUAGGCGAGCAGAUCAGGAGGGCCACAGGCAAGAGAGGAAGCGUCGUGAGAAGACCGAGGGGCAGCGGUGGGGCGAGUUGGGGCACCUGCACGGGAAGGCCUGCCACCUGGGGAAGGGAGAGGGGCAGGGGGAGGGGGAGGAGAAGCGCCGGAGUGGGGGAGUGGAGGAGAAGCGCCGGGGGGAGGGGGUUGGAGGAGAAGCGGCGCGGCUGGGAUGCGUGAUGCGAGCGCGUCGCGCGGGCUGGUGGGGAAGGGAGGAGUCGCGCGCACGGUGAGAGGAACGCGCCCGGCGGCGGCGGCGGAGAAUCUGGUGCGCUCGGUGGAGGGAGGCAGCGCUUAGGGAUGGAACGGAUCGAACCGUUUGCAGCAGCUGAUCGAACGGCUGGUAUUAAAAGAGUGACGUGGCUUCACCAGAUCUCAGCAAAAUCCUAAUAACUACACUAAGUAAGGAUCACUUGUAUAGAAUGCCAAUUGGAUUUAUACGUUGUAGGAUCGUAAAGAGUCUUACAUUUAUGCCAAUUGGAUUUUUAGGUGUAGGAUCCUAAAGAAUCUUUUCCAUCUUAAAAGCUAAUCAAUAAAGUGAGGAACCAGAGAUGCUGAACUAGCUAAGUUUUGAUACCAAUUAUAGUAUUGUAAAGGGUUUUUC
rnacentral:lncRNA from 1 species